rnacentral:misc_RNA from 1 species
GAUGAAGAACGUAGUGAAAUGCGAUAAGUAAUGUGAAUUGCAGAAUUCAGUGAAUCAUCGAAUCUUUGAACGCACAUUGCGCCCGCCAGUAUUCUGGCGGGCAUGCCUGUUCGAGCGUCAUUACAACCCUCAGGCCCUCGGGCCUGGCGUUGGGGAUCGGCGGAAGCCCCCUGCGGGCACAACGCCGUCCCCCAAAUACAGUGGCGGUCCCGCCGCAGCUUCCAUUGCGUAGUAGCUAACACCUCGCAACUGGAGAGCGGCGCGGCCACGCCGUAAAACACCCAACUUCUGAAUGUUGACCUCGAAUCAGGUAGGAAUACCCGCUGAACUUAAGCAUAUCAAUAAGCGGAGGA